CUGGCGGCGUGCCUAAUACAUGCAAGUCGAACGCUUCUUUUUCCACCGGAGCUUGCUCCAUCGGGAAAAGAGGAGUGGCGAACGGGUGAGUAACACGUGGGUAACCUGCCCAUCAGAAGGGGAUAACACUUGGAAACAGGUGCUAAUACCGUAUAAUAAUUAAAACCGCAUGGUUUUAAUUUGAAAGGCGCUUUACGGUGCCACUGAUGGAUGGACCCGCGGUGCAUUAGCUAGUUGGUGAGGUAAUGGCUCACCAAGGCGACGAUGCAUAGCCGACCUGAGAGGGUGAUCGGCCACAUUGGGACUGAGACACGGCCCAAACUCCUACGGGAGGCAGCAGUAGGGAAUCUUCGGCAAUGGACGAAAGUCUGACCGAGCAACGCCGCGUGAGUGAAGAAGGUUUUCGGAUCGUAAAACUCUGUUGUUAGAGAAGAACAAGGAUGAGAGUAACUGUUCAUCCCUUGACGGUAUCUAACCAGAAAGCCACGGCUAACUACGUGCCAGCAGCCGCGGUAAUACGUAGGUGGCAAGCGUUGUCCGGAUUUAUUGGGCGUAAAGCGAGCGCAGGCGGUUUCUUAAGUCUGAUGUGAAAGCCCCCGGCUCAACCGGGGAGGGUCAUUGGAAACUGGGAGACUUGAGUGCAGAAGAGGAGAGUGGAAUUCCAUGUGUAGCGGUGAAAUGCGU
rnacentral:rRNA from 1 species